CAGCAGCCGCGGUAAUACGAAGGGGGCUAGCGUUGUUCGGAUUUACUGGGCGUAAAGGGCGCGUAGGCGGACUGAUAAGUCAGGGGUGAAAUCCCAAGGCUCAGCCUUGGAACUGCCUUUGAUACUGUUUGUCUUGAGUUCGGGAGAGGUAAGUGGAACUGCGAGUGUAGAGGUGAAAUUCGUAGAUAUUCGCAAGAACACCAGUGGCGAAGGCGGCUUACUGGCUCGAAACUGACGCUGAGGCGCGAAAGCGUGGGGAGCAAACAGGAUUAGAGACCCCAGUAGUCCCUGUCUCUUAUAC
rnacentral:rRNA from 1 species